UAAUAGUACUUGCUGACAUGAGGCAUAUCGGGUCUCAGUGUAAUAGUACUUGCUGACAUGAGGCAUAUCAGGUCUCAGUGUAAUAGUACUUGCUGACAUGAGGCAUAUCAGGUCUCAGUGUAAUAGUACUUGCUGACAUGAGGCAUAUCAGGUCUCAGUGUAAUAGUACUUGCUUAAAUUUGAGCUAUGCUCUGUAAAAAGGGGGCA